rnacentral:rRNA from 1 species
CCUACGGGAGGCAGCAGUAGGGAAUCUUUCACAAUGGGCGAAAGCCUGAUGGAGCAACGCCGCGUGCAGGAUGAAGGCCUUCGGGUUGUAAACUGCUUUUAUAAGCGGGGAAAUUGAUGGUAACUUAUGAAUAAGGAACGGCUAACUACGUGCCAGCAGCCGCGGUCAUACGUAGGAUCCGAGCAUUAUCCGGAGUGACUGGGUGUUAAGAGUGGCGUAGGUGGCAUAAUAAGUAGCUAGUGAAAUCUGGUGGCUCAACAAUUCAGACUAUUAGCGAAACUGUUAAGCUCGAGACCGUUAGGGGUAACUGGAAUUUCUAGUGUAGGAGUGAAAUCCGUAGAUAUUAGAAGGAACACCAAUAGCGUAGGCAGGUUGCUGGGACGGUUCUGACACUAAGGCACGAAAGCGUAGGGAGCAAACGGGAUUAGAUACCCCUGUAGUC